UGUAUUCUGAAUAAAAUAUUGAAAUUUGAAACUUCCACAUCAUUGCAUUCUGUUUUUAUUCACAAUUUGUAAAGUGUCCCAACUUUUUUUGGAAUCGGGUUUGUAUAAUAAUAUAAUAUAAUAUGUUUAUUCACCACUAAAUCAGCAUAUCAGAAUAAUUUCACCCUAUUUGUAAAAUCAAAUAUGUUCAAAGACUUUUUCUUUUUUUAGAUUCCAAAUGUUUAGAACUACCAGGGGAAGGUCCACCCACAGACGAAGGAGACACAGACACGUCUCACGCAGUAUCACAUUCAGAGUUGUUAUGUUGCUAAGACACGUGGAUCGAUUUACAUCACAUAAUGGACAU
ensembl:lncRNA